rnacentral:rRNA from 1 species
GAGACCUACGGGAGGCAGCAGUAGGGAAUUUUCGGCAAUGGACGAAAGUCUGACCGAGCAACGCCGCGUGAGGGAGGAAGUACUUCGGUAUGUAAACCUCUGUUAUAAAGGAAGAACGGUAUAAUCAGGGAAUGGGUUAUAAGUGACGGUACUUUAUGAGGAAGCCACGGCUAACUACGUGCCAGCAGCCGCGGUAAUACGUAGGUGGCGAGCGUUAUCCGGAAUCAUUGGGCGUAAAGCGAGUGCAGGCGGUUCAAUAA